rnacentral:rRNA from 1 species
UACGAAGGGGGCGAGCGUUGUUCGGAAUUACUGGGCGUAAAGGGCGCGCAGGCGGCCUUAUAAGUCAGAUGUGAAAGCCCCGGGCUCAACCUGGGAAUUGCAUUUGAGACUGCUCUGCUCGGGUGCGGAAGAGGGAAGCGGAAUUUCCGGUGUAGCGGUGAAAUGCGUAGAUAUCGGAAGGAACACCAGUGGCGAAAGCGGCUUCCUGGUCCGACACCGACGUUCAGGCACGAAAGCGUGGGGAGCAAACAGG